CGUGAGAUGUUGGGUUAAGUCCCGCAACGAGCGCAACCCCUAUUGUUAGUUGCCAUCAUUCAGUUGGGCACUCUAGCGAGACUGCGGUAAUAAACCGGAGGAAGGUGGGGAUGACGUCAAAUCAUCAUGCCCCUUAUGACCUGGGCUACACACGUGCUACAAUGGUUGGUACAACGAGUUGCGAGUCGGUGACGGCGAGCUAAUCUCUUAAAGCCAAUCUCAGUUCGGAUUGUAGGCUGCAACUCGCCUACA
rnacentral:rRNA from 1 species